UAGGGAAUCUUCGGCAAUGGACGAAAGUCUGACCGAGCAACGCCGCGUGAGUGAAGAAGGUCUUCGGAUCGUAAAACUCUGUUGUUAGAGAAGAACAAGGACGUUAGUAACUGAACGUCCCCUGACGGUACCUAACCAGAAAGCCACGGCUAACUACGUGCCAGCAGCCGCGGUAAUACGUAGGUGGCAAGCGUUGUCCGGAUUUAUUGGGCGUAAAGCGAGCGCAGGCGGUUUCUUAAGUCUGAUGUGAAAGCCCCCGGCUCAACCGGGGAGGGUCGUUGGAAACUGGGAGGCUUGAGUGCAGAAGAGGGGGGUGGAAUUCCAUGUGUAGCGGUGAAAUGCGUAGAUAUAUGGAGGAACACCGGUGGCGAAGGCGGCUCUCUGGUCUGUAACUGACGCUGAGGCUCGAAAGCGUGGGGAGCAAACAGG
rnacentral:rRNA from 1 species